ACGUGUAGUCCUGAAGUGGAUUUUGUUCCAAAAUUUGAAAUUCUGUUUUCUAGUUUUAAUCUGAUUGAUUUAGAAUGAUAUCAUGACAAGUGUAAUCAAAAUAAUCAUAAAUUCAUCAUAAUCCUGAUGAAGUGAGUGCAGAAAAUGGAUAUCAAAGAACUUGGAGACUGUUGCAGCCCAAACAAAAUGUUUGGGAUAGUUGUUUUAUCCUGUUUACUACCUGUACCUGGACAAAUAAAGGAAGGAGAAAUAAUCCUACGAAGAAGACAACACCAAGGCCUUGUUGAAUUCACGACUCAUCAAGGAAUACAAAGGAACUUACAGUUCGUAUGCAAAAAUUUAUUAGUUCCUAAUUUCUAUUGGCUACCCACUAAAAAGUGUAUUAUUUAAGCUUUAAAAAACCUGAAAUUCAAAAACAUUUUGAAUUUUUUAAAAGCGACAAUACUUAAUUCUGCUACGCACCCGUUCCUUUCUGUAGACCUUUUCCAUUUUCUACAAGACGACAAUGUGUGUUAAUCCGUCUGUGUCUGUAAUUGAGCAGUUUUAUUUUGAAAUAAAAAACUAAUAAUUAUGUUUUCCA